AGCGAACGCUGGCGGCAGGCUUAACACAUGCAAGUCGAGUGGGCAUCUUCGGAUGUCAGCGGCAGACGGGUGAGUAACACGUGGGAACGUACCCUUCGGUUCGGAACAACUCUGGGAAACUGGAGCUAAUACCGGAUACGCCCUUAUGGGGAAAGGUUUACUGCCGAAGGAUCGGCCCGCGUCUGAUUAGCUAGUUGGUGGGGUAACGGCCUACCAAGGCGACGAUCAGUAGCUGGUCUGAGAGGAUGAUCAGCCACACUGGGACUGAGACACGGCCCAGACUCCUACGGGAGGCAGCAGUGGGGAAUAUUGGACAAUGGGCGCAAGCCUGAUCCAGCCAUGCCGCGUGAGUGAUGAAGGCCUUAGGGUUGUAAAGCUCUUUUGUCCGGGACGAUAAUGACGGUACCGGAAGAAUAAGCCCCGGCUAACUUCGUG
rnacentral:rRNA from 1 species